UAGAACGCUGAAGAGAGGAGCUUGCUCUUCUUGGAAGAGUUGCGAACGGGUGAGUAACGCGUAGGUAACCUGCCUUGUAGCGGGGGAUAACUAUUGGAAACGAUAGCUAAUACCGCAUAACAAUGGGUGACCCAUGUCAUUCAUUUGAAAGGGGCAACUGCUCCACUACAAGAUGGACCUGCGUUGUAUUAGCUAGUAGGUGAGGUAACGGCUCACCUAGGCGACGAUACAUAGCCGACCUGAGAGGGUGAUCGGCCACACUGGGACUGAGACACGGCCCAGACUCCUACGGGAGGCAGCAGUAGGGAAUCUUCGGCAAUGGGGGCAACCCUGACCGAGCAACGCCGCGUGAGUGAAGAAGGUUUUCGGAUCGUAAAGCUCUGUUGUAAGUCAAGAACGAGUGUGAGAGUGGAAAGUUCACACUGUGACGGUAGCUUACCAGAAAGGGACGGCUAACUACGUGCCAGCAGCCGCGGUAAUACGUAGGUCCCGAGCGUUGUCCGGAUUUAUUGGGCGUAAAGCGAGCGCAGGCGGUUUGAUAAGUCUGAAGUUAAAGGCUGUGGCUCAACCAUAGUUCGCUUUGGAAACUGUCAAACUUGAGUGCAGAAGGGGAGAGUGGAAUUCCAUGUGUAGCGGUGAAAUGCGUAGAUAUAUGGAGGAA
rnacentral:rRNA from 1 species